UAGCUCAGUUGGUAGAGCAUGGUGUUUGCAACGCCAGGGUUGUGGGUUCGAUUCCCAA
rfam:Salmo salar isolate Sally breed double haploid chromosome ssa17, whole genome shotgun sequence.